UUGGUCUCAGAUCAGACAAGAAAACCCGCUGAACUUAAGCAUAUCA
rnacentral:rRNA from 1 species